rnacentral:rRNA from 1 species
AGAUUGAACGCUGGCGGCGUGGUUAAAGCAUGCAAGUCGAGCGAACCCGCAAGGGUGAGCGGCGAAAGGGUCAGUAAUACGAUCGAACGUACCCCGAGGUGAGGGAUAGCGGCGGGAAACUGCCGGUAAUACCUCAUGAUCUCUCCGGAGCAAAGGUUUACCGCCUUGGGAUCGGCGAUCGUCCUAUCAGCUAGUUGGCGGGGUAAAAGCCCACCAAGGCUAUGACGGGUAGCAGGUGUGAGAGCACGACCUGCGACAUCGAAACUGAGACACUGUUCGGACUCCUACGGGAGGCUGCAGCGACGAAUCUUCCGCAAUGGGCGCAAGCCUGGACGGAGCGACGCCGCGUGUGGGAUGAAGCGCCGUUCGGCGUGUAACCACUGUCGAGGAGACGGAACCGAAUGAUUCGUCUACGAAAGGAAGGGACGACUAACUCUGUGCCAGCGACGCCGC